rnacentral:rRNA from 1 species
CCUACGGGAGGCAGCAGUGAGGAAUAUUGGUCAAUGGGCGCGAGCCUGAACCAGCCAAGUAGCGUGAAGGAUGACUGCCCUACGGGUUGUAAACUUCUUUUAUAAAGGAAUAAAGUGAAGCACGUGUGCCUCUUUGUAUGUACUUUAUGAAUAAGGAUCGGCUAACUCCGUGCCAGCAGCCGCGGUAAUACGGAGGAUCCGAGCGUUAUCCGGAUUUAUUGGGUUUAAAGGGAGCGUAGGUGGGUUGUUAAGUCAGUUGUGAAAGUUUGCGGCUCAACCGUAAAAUUGCAAUUGAUACUGGCAGUCUUGAGUACAGUAGAGGUAGGCGGAAUUCGUGGUGUAGCGGUGAAAUGCUUAGAUAUCACGAAGAACUCCGAUUGCGAAGGCAGCUUACUAGACUGUAACUGACGUUGAUGCUCGAAAGUGUGGGUAUCAAACAGGAUUAGAUACCCUGGUAGUC